UGGACGGUGGGAAUAUGCUGGGAUAUUUCUGAGUGUUCAUGUGCAGGCAGUUGUAACUGUGGUUACAUGUUAGUACAUAUUAGCACAUAUGUGGUAUUCACACAUGUACAAUUCCUGAGCAAGGUAACAUGCCAGUGCAUAUGAUUACAUCACUUAUAUAGUUCAUAUAUCUGCAGUUUCCAAGCAUGGCCACAUGGUGGUGCAUUUUUCUCUCAUGACCACAGCUUCUCUUCCCUUCAUUCUUCCCAGUUUAUCCCCUCCCUUCUCCCCCAGAGCUAUCCAUCCAUCUAUCUCCCAUCAUCCCCCACCCCCCACCUCUGUCUGUCCCCCCAAAUGCAGGUCUCUCAGGAACGCCAACAAGAUACAAUAAGACCAGGUUUAAACUUCUCUAGGCACGAACCCUCAUAUCAAGGCCGGGCGGAGGCAACCUAGUAGGAGGAAAAGGGGCCCAAGAGCAGCAAUAUAGUUGGAGCAAAGUGACUAAGACAUACCUGCCUCAGCGAUAGACACUGACUGCUGUUGGAGGGAGGUGCUGACUGCUCUACUUACUUCCUGCUUAGAGGAAACGGAAUCUAGAGGUAUCAGUCUCAUUGAGGGGUGGCACAGGGUACUGUGGCCAAAUUCUAGUGGGCAGUGUUUCUGGAAUUCUACCUGCAGUACCUUCUCUAGCAGGUAUUUUGUAUAUAUAUGUAUAGUUUCAAUGAGGUUGUACACUUCCUCAAAGAGCCAUAGACUAUCUAACAAAAACCCCAGUACCAAGCAUGAGAAACCUCCUUUUCUGUUGUUGGUCAGAUGUGCCAGAGACAACAUAGGCCAUUGCUUUUGCCUUUGCCCCCAGAAGUUGAAGAUAAGUUCCUAGUGUUGAUGACGCUUGCUCUUCAAAC
rnacentral:lncRNA from 1 species